UUAGUGGCGGACGGGUGAGUAACGCGUGGAAAACCUGCCGUAUACUGGGGGAUAACACUUAGAAAUAGGUGCUAAUACCGCAUAAGCGCACAGCUUCGCAUGAAGUGGUGUGAAAAACUCUGGUGGUAUACGAUGGUUCCGCGUCUGAUUAGCUUGUUGGUGGGGUAACGGCCUACCAAAGCGACGAUCAGUAGCCGGCCUGAGAGGGUGAACGGCCACAUUGGGACUGAGACACGGCCCAAACUCCUACGGGAGGCAGCAG
rnacentral:rRNA from 1 species